AUGGAGCCCCGAGCCCUUCUCCUACUGCUCUCAGGGGCCCAGGCCCUCACGGAGACCCGGGAGGGAUCCCACUCCCUAAGGUAUUUCUACACCGCCGUGUCCCCACCCGGCCACGGAGAGCCCUGGUACACCUCUGUCCGCUACGUAGACAACACUCGGUGCGGUUCGAUAGCGACGCUGCGAACCCGAGAUGGGAGCCGCGGGCGCAGCGGGUGGAGCAGGAGGGGCAGGAGUAUUGGGAUCCGAACACACGGAUCUGCAAGGAGCAAGCACAGAGAGCCGAGGGAACUUGCGGAGCCUGCCUGGCUACUACAACCAGAGCGAGGCCGGGCCUCACACCCUCCAGGUGAUGUAUAGCUGCGACGUGGGGCCGGACGGGCGCCUUCUCCGUGGGUACACACAGUUCGCCUACGAUGGCGCGGAUUACCUUGCCCUGAACGAGGAAAUGCGCUCCUGGAUAGCGACGGACACGGCCGACUCAGAUCUCGAAGCUCAAGUUAGAAGAGAGUGGUGUCACGGAUCACACCAGGGCCUACCUGGAGGGCAGGUGUGUGGAGUCCCUCAGCAGACACCUGGAGAACGGGAAGGAGUCACUGCAGCGUGCGUAUCCCCCAAAGACACAUGUGACUUGCCACCCCAGCCCUGAUGGGGAUGUCACCCUGAGGUGCUGGGCCCUGGGCUUCUACCCUGCGAAGAUCACACUAACCUGGCAACAGGAUGGGGAGGGCCAAACUCAGGACAUGGAGCUUGUGGAGACCAGGCCUUCAGGGGAUGGAACCUUCCAGAAGUGGGCAGCUGUGGUGGUGCCUUCUGGAAAGGAGCAGAGAUACACGUGCCAUGUGCAGCAUGAGGGACAGCCAGAGCCCCACACCCUGAGAUGGGAGCCAUCUUCCCAGAUCGCUAUCCUCCUCAUGGGAAUCUUUGCUGACCUGGUUUUCCUUGGAGCUGUGGUCACUGGAGCUGUGAUGUGGAUUAAGAAGAGCUCAGAAAAUGGAGGGAGCUACUCUCAGGCUGCAACGUGACACAGCUGCCUUUUGUGGGACUGAGACAUUGAUUUGUUCAUGACUCCCCUCUGUGGCUUCAAGAGCCUCUGACUUCUUUUUCUACAAAGGACAUUUGAAUGUGUCUGCAUUCCUGUUAAGAUCAUGUGACGGUGUGGGGAGAUCAUCAACCCACCCUCUUGUCCACAUUGACUCCCUUCCCCACCCUAACCUGUGUGCCUCCCCUGAUCAUCUUUCCUGUCCCGGAGAGGUGGGACUAGGAUGUCUCCAUCCCUAUCUCUAUGUCAUGAUGUACUGAGCUGCAACUUUUUACUUCCCUAAUGAAAAUAAGAAUCCAGCCAGGCUCGGUGGCUCAGC